AGGGUGUAAACGCUGCGGGCUUGGUGUUGGGGGUCCUUUGGGGCGCCCAGUGCCGGAGAGAAGUUGUUAAGCCUGCUGCUUGGGGAGUACGUCCGCAAGGAUGAAACUUAAAGGAAUUGGCGGGGGAGCACCGCAACGGGAGGAGCGUGCGGUUCAAUUGGAUUCAACGCCGGACAACUCACCAGGAGCGACGGUUACAUGAAGGCCAGGCUGAAGACUUUGCCGGAUUAGCUGAGAGGUGGUGCAUGGCGUAGUCGUGU
rnacentral:rRNA from 1 species